rnacentral:ncRNA from 1 species
CCCACUGAGUUUAAGCAUAUCAAUAAGCGAAGGAAAUAAAACUUAUAAGGAUUACCAUAGUAACAAUGAGAGAAUCGGGAAUAGCUAGGCCAUAGAAUUAGGAGUCUCCAUAGUCCUAAUUAUAGUCUGGAGAAGAAUCCUCAGCGGCAGACUGGGCCCAAGUUCCCAGAAAGGGGGUGCCAGAAUGGGUGAGAGCCCCGUUGUGCCUGAACCCUAUCGCACCGCAAGGCAUUGUCUACAAGUUGGGUAAUUUUGUCUAUGGAUAAAUACGAGAGACAUACCAAUAAAGAAAAAGUACCACGACGGAAAUAUGAAAAUGACUUUGAAAAGUGAGUCUAAGAGUACUUGAAAUUAUUAAGAGAAAGGCAGAUGUGGGCCGGAGAUGCACCUCGAUCGGAUGUGGAAUGGCAACGAGCUGGUCAGCCGAUUGAAUUGGGGCAUUGACCAUUAUGGAUUAGGGGAGGACAAAUCCCGGGCUCUCGAUACAUUCAUGAAACAUCAUCUCCCCAAUUAUGGUAGGCAGCGCGUGCCUCUAGCAUGCUUUAGCAUCGAUGCACCACAGACAUUGGCCGGUGCACUCCCUAAUCGGACCAUCUUGAAACACUG